GGUGUUAGUGAACCUCAGGAGUGUAUGUGACAGAGGUGUUAGUGAACCCCAGGAGUGUAUGUGACAGAGAUGUUAGUUAGUGCACCUCAGGAGUGUAUGUGACAGACGUGUGAACCUCAGGAGUGUAUGUGGCAGAGGUGUUAGUGAACCUCAGGAGUGUGUGUGACAGAGGUGUUAGUGAACCUCAGGAGUGUGUGUGACAGAGGUGUUAGUGAACCUCAGGGGUGUAUGUGACAGAGGUGUUAGUGAACCUCAGGAGUGUAUGUGACAGAGGUGUUAGUGAACCUCAGGAGUGUAUGUGACAGAGGUGUUAGUGAACCUCAGGAGUGUAUGUGACAGAGGUAUUAGUGAACCCCAGGAGUGUAUGUGACAGAGGUGUUAGUGAACCUCAGGAGUGUAUGUGACAGAGGUGUUAGUGAACCUCAGGAGUGUGUGUGACAGAGGUGUUAGUGAACCUCAGGAGUGUGUGUGACAGAGGUGUUAGUGAACCUCAGGAGUGUGUGUGG
rnacentral:lncRNA from 1 species